AUUAUAUUGGGCAUUGCAGUUGGUAUUGCAGUGGGUUCCUGUCUGAUUCUGGCUCCAGUGACUUAUCUUCUGAUGAAAAAAGUUGCACCUAAACAGCACCGUGAAAGGGAACAAGGUCUAAGCAGUAACACCAAGAACAUGGGCACAGAUGAUCUGAUUCAG